AGAGCCUUCCCCGUCUCUGUGUGUUGAAGUCAGCAGAUAGCACACCUGCUGCUGCGUGAGUUCCUUCUGCCAAGCAGAGCAGCACAGCUGCAAGACACCCUGCUUCUGGCUCUGAGCUUUGCUUGUCUUCAGGGAUGGAGCCCCUCCCAAGGCAAGUUCAACUGGGUUCUUUGGCAGCCGAAGUCUACACGGACCCUGCAGGGAGCGGUGGAGAAAAGUUAGAUGUCUGAAGUGUUUUUCAUUGGACCAAAAUCAAGGUGUUGGCUGGGCUACCUUCCCUUCUGGAGACUCUAAGGAAGAAUCCAUUUCCUUGUCUUUUCCAGAUCCUAGAGGCUACCUGCAUUCCUUGGCUUUUAUCCCCAAUCUUCCAUCUUCGGAGCCAGCAACAAUAUAUUGAUCAUGAGGAGAGGGCUCACCCCUCACCCGGAGAAGUAGUUGGGGAAGCAAUAUGCGGAAACAAAGCCAUGAAUCUGACAAGAAAUGUACUUAAGGUAAAGGGAAGCCAAAUAUAAGUAAAGUACUAACAAGGCCAAUUACGUUCAGGUGCAUGGAUGAUUAAUCAUAAAAUUCACAACGGAGGACACUCUGUGGGGAAAAGACCAUGUGAGGACACAGUGAGAAGGAGACCAUAUGCAAAGCAGGAAGGAAGAUCUCACUGGAACCAAAAACCAGCCCUGCUGGCACCCUGAUCUUGGACUUCUAGCCUUUCUCAGAACUGUGAGAAAAUAAAUUUCUGAUGUUUCAGCCA
rnacentral:lncRNA from 1 species